CCUACGGGAGGCAGCAGUGGGGAAUAUUGGGCAAUGGGCGCAAGCCUGACCCAGCAACGCCGCGUGAAGGAAGAAGGCUUUCGGGUUGUAAACUUCUUUUAAGAGGGAAGAGCAGAAGACUGUACCUCUUGAAUAAGCCACGGCUAACUACGUGCCAGACGGCGCGGUAAUACGUAGGUGGCAAGCGUUCUCCGGAUUUACUGGGUGUAAAGGGCGUGCAGACGGGUAGAAAAGUCAGAUGUGAAAGCCCGCGGCUCAACCGCGGAACUGCAUUUGAAACUGUUUUUCUUGAGUACCGGAGAGGUCAUCGGAAUUCCUGGUGUAGCGGUGAAAUGCGUAGAUAUCAGGAAGAACACCAGUGGCGAAGGCGGAUGACUGGACGGCAACUGACGGUGAGGCGCGAAAGCGUGGGGAGCAAACAGGAUUAGAUACCCGAGUAGUC
rnacentral:rRNA from 1 species